GACCUCGGAUCAGGUAGGAAUACCCGCUGAACUUAAGCAUAUCAU
rnacentral:rRNA from 1 species